AUCCAAGCCCUACCCACCCCCCUUCCUGCGGUCACCCACCGCGCGCUGAGGGGUUGCGCUCGUUAAUCAUUACUGGGCAGCUAGCUCGGCUUCCGACGGAGGAGCCGGUCUGGCGCGGUUGCCGGGUCUAGGUGCAUUCUGGGCGCGCGGAGCCGGGCGGCUGUCCCCACCAGCGGCGUGUCGUGGGGAAGUCCUACCGCAAGGCCUGCGGGGGCCCGCGCAGGCUCCGCGAUCAGCUACGGUAGACUAGAGAGGCCUGUCAGAGGGGAGCCUUCGGUCUCACCCUGACAACCCCCUCCACUGCGGGUCGCAGGGCACUAGCGAGCACCAGCUGCGCCUGCGCGCUGCGCUCCUGGCCAGCACCCGGUCGCCCCCGCCUCCUGGCUCAGCUGCGCUGGGCGUUGGGCUACCCUGAGGUCGGGUGGGGGGCCGAAAGCGGGCCUCUGGGGUUCCGACGCGGCCUGGGGUGGGUAAGAGGCGAGGAGGAGUGCCUGCCGGGACCCCUUGCUCCACGGAGGGCUGGGAGUCCCAGGGAACGUCUCGGCCGCUCUGCAGGGCCAGCAGGCUAAAAAAAGGCGGCUGCGAGGCCCAGGUUGCCAAUUUUGGAGCUGUGCUGCAAGCAGGCCGCCCCUGGAGGAGCGUGUUCAACGAAGGUGGGGGUUGCCGCGCGCUCUCCCCGCGCCUUUUUUGGGCAUCCCUUGGAACAAAAUUCCCAUAUUUCACUGGGUAUCAUCUAGUUCCAACUGGAGGAGGCCUGCGCUGGAGUUGAAGCCUCCGAUCCACCCCCACCUGUUACAGGCCUUCCCACCCCAAGACGUUCCAGUCACUGGGUCCUGGGGGCGAGGCAAGACGCUCUGCAGUAGAACUGCGAAGGGUAAAAUCUUUCAGCCUGGGAUCUCCAACAGAAGAGACAGGGAGGGAAGUCGGUUGUUACUUCGCUAUUGUAAAAGUGCACUACCUGGGCAUGAAUUUGGGAGGAUAACCGCAACACUUCUCAAACCUGAAGACAGAGACGCUUAGUUUGACCUAUGCUUCCGAAUCCUACAUCAACGGAAUGUCAGUUCUUCUCAGCACUUUCUAGAAAAUGCCAUUCGGACCACUCGGUUCUAAGAAGAGGGGCGUAAAGGGUCUUUGAAGCGUGGUGGCCAGGGUUGAAAUUGUGCCCCGAUCACUUCCUAAACGUGUGGCCUUGGUUAAGUCAUCUUUUGUAAACCUCAUCUUCCAUGUGGCAUAAUGAAGAUAAUAAAAAUAUCCACUUCAUAGGUUCUCUGA